UUUAGCGGCGGACGGGUGAGUAACACGUAGGCAACCUGCCCAUAAGACCGGGAUAACAUUCGGAAACGGAUGCUAAUACCGGAUAAGUAAUUCUCUCGCAUGAGAGGGUUAAGAAAGACGGAGCAAUCUGUCACUUACAGAUGGGCCUGCGGCGCAUUAGCUAGUAGGUGAGGUAAAGGCUCACCUAGGCGACGAUGCGUAGCCGACCUGAGAGGGUGAACGGCCACACUGGGACUGAGACACGGCCCAGACUCCUACGGGAGGCAGCAGUAGGGAAUCUUCCGCAAUGGACGCAAGUCUGACGGAGCAACGCCGCGUGAGUGAUGAAGGUUUUCGGAUCGUAAAGCUCUGUUGCCAGGGAAGAACGCUUAGGAGAGUAACUGCUCUUAAGUUGACGGUACCUGAGAAGAAAGCCCCGGCUAACUACGUGCCAGCAGCCGCGGUAAUACGUAGGGGGCAAGCGUUGUCCGGAAUUAUUGGGCGUAAAGCGCGCGCAGGCGGUUUAUUAAGUCUGGUGUUUAAGCCCAGGGCUCAACCCUGGUUCGCACUGGAAACUGGUAGACUGGAGUGUAGGAGAGGAAAGUGGAAUUCCACGUGUAGCGGUGAAAUGCGUAGAGAUGUGGAGGAACACCAGUGGCGAAGGCGACUUUCUGGCCUAUAACUGACGCUGAGGCGCGAAAGCGUGGGGAGCAAACAGGAUUAGAUACCCUGGUAGUCCACGCCGUAAACGAUGAGUGCUAGGUGUUAGGGGUUUCGAUACCCUUGGUGCCGAAGUUAACACAGUAAGCAUUCCGCCUGGGAGU
rnacentral:rRNA from 1 species